GCUAAGGUAGUCUAAAAGCUUAGAACGCUCGCACGGAAUGCAAGAGAUCCGGGUUCGACUCCCGGCCGAGGCA
rfam:Trachymyrmex zeteki contig13066, whole genome shotgun sequence.